GGACCCAAGAUGGCGACCGAGUUGGAGUACGAGUCCGUGCUGUGUGUGAAGCCAGACGUCAGCGUCUACCGGAUUCCGCCCCGGGCCUCCAACCGCGGUUACAGGGCCUCUGACUGGAAAUUAGACCAGCCUGAUUGGACUGGUCGCCUCCGAAUCACUUCAAAAGGGAAGACUGCCUAUAUCAAACUCGAGGAUAAAGUUUCAGGGGAGCUCUUUGCUCAGGCACCAGUAGAACAAUAUCCUGGUAUUGCUGUGGAGACAGUGACAGAUUCUAGCCGCUACUUUGUAAUCCGGAUCCAGGAUGGUACUGGGCGCAGUGCUUUCAUUGGCAUUGGCUUCACAGAUCGGGGAGAUGCCUUCGACUUUAAUGUCUCCUUGCAGGAUCACUUCAAGUGAGUGAAGCUUGUCCUUAGUUACGAGGCUGAAUGCUUAUAGGAAUGCUGCUUCUCACAUGAGUGGGCAGUAUCUCUUCCUCCUGGUUUCUUUAUUUCUUAAACUAUUUCAUUGUGAAUAUAAAUCUCCCCAUUCACUUUUGUUUCCUUAGGUCAUCUUUGUAUCUAUUCUGUUUCCUUUCCUUAUAGCCUGCAAUAUGUUUCAGAUCCCUUGUGCAGUAGUUUGAAAUGAUGCUCUGUCGAAUUUGCCCCAUCUUUUAGGGGGUAGAGGGAGGCCUAUGGUAACAGCAGGGCUUUAUGUGGGGAGUCGUGUGCCACUCUUGUUACCUUAUGUAGCUGACAUGUUUUGUGACUUUUGCAACAUUUCUUUAGCCCACUUGAUUUUGGUGCAGCUGUGGUUGACAGCACUGUGCACACUGUCAGCUUCCUACCUCAAGAGCAAGCAUAUCUCUCCUUUUCUGCCUUAGGACUCUGAAGUUAUAGAAGGCUAAGAGCAAGCUUUAACUUGGAGAGACUAAGAAACUAACACCCCCUCAGGAGCAGCCCUCAACUGUGGGGAAUGGGAAUUGGUGGCUAAAUACCAUCCUUCUGGAAGGGGCAAUUCUAAUACGUAUUCCGUGAGAUUUCUCAGAGAGUCCCCAGUGGAAUUGAACCCCAGUUGUUUUCUUUCUUGGCUUUUUUCCCUUCUGUUUCUCACUCUUUUUUAUCUCUCACUGUGUUUUCUGGAAUCUCAUUUCAUAAAAGUAAAUACACCCAAAUUUGUAUGUCAGACUCUGCUUUCAGGAAAUCUCAAACUAAGAUAACUUGCUGUGUUCCCAAAGGUGGGUAAAGCAGGAAUCUGAGAUUUCCAAGGAAUCUCAAGAAAUGGAUGCUCGUCCUAAGUUGGAUCUGGGCUUCAAGGAAGGACAAACCAUCAAGUUGAGUAUCGGGGUGAGUAUGGUUUUUAAAAAUUUUGUUUUCCUGUGCUUCCAUAAGCCGAUGACAUCUUUCUCUUGCUCUUCUUUUGUUCUUUUGUAGAACAUUACAAACAAGAAAGGAGGUGCUUCUAAGCCCAGGACUGCAAGGGGUGGGGGUCUGAGCCUACUCCCACCCCCGCCAGGAGGCAAAGUCACUAUUCCCCCACCAUCCUCCUCAGUUGCCAUCAGCAAUCAUGUCACCCCACCACCCAUUCCGAAAUCUAACCAUGGAGGCAGUGAUGCAGAUAUCCUUUUAGAUUUGGAUUCUCCUGCUCCUGUCACGACACCAGCACCAACUCCAGUUUCUGCAAGCAAUGACUUGUGGGGAGACUUCAGCACUGCAUCCAGCUCUGUUCCAAACCAGGCACCACAGCCAUCCAACUGGGUCCAGUUCUGAAUGGCAUUGGCAGGACAUUAAGGACAGACUUGAGGAAUAAAAAUGACCUUGAGGGCACCAAUCUGUGAGGGAAGUUAGGAACCCAUUUCCUCCCCAGAACCAGAAUGACUGGAAAAUCUUUUUCAUAGCUUCUCCAUCACAUUCAAGCUGGUUUAUGUCACUCCCCUGUGUUGUUACUUGUACAGCCAAGAAAGUAUCUGUUAUCUCCUGCUUAGUACCAAGGUAGGGGACUAGUGGAUCUUAUCAUAGUUUUGGCUGACUAUGCAGGGCUUAAAAGGCCAGCGUCUGUUUGAGGGGGAAUGACCUCUAACAUCUGUAAAAUUUGUCUCAUCUUUUAAAUUCUUUAACUUAUUUCAAAAUCAUCUCAUGACCCUUGUGUGCCUCUUUGUGAAGCCCUAUUUAGCAAUUUCAGGGGAGUCAAAAACCUUGCAACUUCCUUCUCCACUAACCCAGGACUAAAAAUGGACAGGCUCACCUCAGUGUUUACAAAUUCAGAAUUUUGAUAGGGGUAGAUAUGGAGAAAGACCUAUUUCCUGGGUCUCUGCUGUGUAGUCUCCUUCAGGCUUAUUGUACUCAGUGAACAUCCAGUGCUGGGUGCAGCUCCAUCACCCUCUUGUGUGUUUACAUGUCUCUUUCUAUGAUAAGAGGGUUGUGUUGGUGGCACCUCCACUACUCUUUUCUGUUUGUUGAGUGAAUUGUGUAACAUCUUUGAUCAGUGGGUGUCUCUGUAAUGAAGGAGGUUCAAGAGGCUGUGCUUUCCAAGUGAUAGUCUAUAGGAGUGUUUAAUUUCUUGCAGCUCCAUCUGGUUGCUGCAUUUGAAGCAUGGCAUUAAUUUGUAUUUGCCCUGUUCUUUGACCUAAAGUUGAAGGGUUUAGAGUUUUUAACCUGAUCUGUAGAGCAGAGAGGUUGAAAGCACUUAACUCUUGUUUAGUAUCCUCAUUGCCUUGCUGCCUGGGUAUCUGGCCCCUUUCCAUAAACAUUUCUUUUCAGUUCAUGUAGUUCUUUAAUAGAAAGCUGCUGUUAUGUAUAUUGUCAUUUGUGAAGGAAGUUGGAGAGUCACAGCUUUACUGUGACAGGUUUUGCCCAAGGCUUUGAUACCUGUCACCCAGGGUAUCUUAAAAGCAAGUUGUUCUCCCACUACUUUCCUUUCCCUCUGCCCUGCCAUUCCUUUUACAAUGCUGUGAAAAAAGUUCUGCUUCUUAGGUGAAUGGGGUACUUUCUAUUUUGUUUCUAAACGAGCAAUUUUGAGGAUGAAAUGGGAAGAUAUCAUUGCUUCCUUUUUGCACCUAUUGGGUAUGUACACUCUGGCCGAAGGGAGUCCUUAUGUUUAGUUUCAAAAUAUAUUACUUUCCUGGAUUCUCUUCUUCACUUUUUCUGACUUUGGGUCCAUUUUCUUUUCAUUGCCUCCUUUUCCAGGCAGCUCUAUUCUUGCAGAGCCAUAGCAGGACAUAUUAAAAUUCCAAUAGAAAACACUAAAAGGAAAGUCUGUGGAAUCACUAGUGACUAAAUACUGGGAACCUAUUUUCUCAAUCUUCCUCCAUGUUGUGUUCUUUGUAUUCUCGAGAUGAUAAUAUAUUAUGUAUUUGAAUUCCUGAAAAAUGGAAAAUGUUUAAGAUAUAUGUAUAUAAAGCAUAUGCUGUAUUGGUGCAAUAAUGGUAAUUAAAAAU
rnacentral:sRNA from 1 species